rnacentral:rRNA from 2 species
GAUCCUGGCUCAGGACGAACGCUGGCGGCGUGCCUCAUACAUGCAAGUCGAACGAACUCUGGUAUUGAUUGGUGCUUGCAUCAUGAUUUACAUUUGAGUGAGUGGCGAACUGGUGAGUAACACGUGGGAAACCUGCCCAGAAGCGGGGGAUAACACCUGGAAACAGAUGCUAAUACCGCAUAACAACUUGGACCGCAUGGUCCGAGUUUGAAAGAUGGCUUCGGCUAUCACUUUUGGAUGGUCCCGCGGCGUAUUAGCUAGAUGGUGGGGUAACGGCUCACCAUGGCAAUGAUACGUAGCCGACCUGAGAGGGUAAUCGGCCACAUUGGGACUGAGACACGGCCCAAACUCCUACGGGAGGCAGCAGUAGGGAAUCUUCCACAAUGGACGAAAGUCUGAUGGAGCAACGCCGCGUGAGUGAAGAAGGGUUUCGGCUCGUAAAACUCUGUUGUUAAAGAAGAACAUAUCUGAGAGUAACUGUUCAGGUAUUGACGGUAUUUAACCAGAAAGCCACGGCUAACUACGUGCCAGCAGCCGCGGUAAUACGUAGGUGGCAAGCGUUGUCCGGAUUUAUUGGGCGUAAAGCGAGCGCAGGCGGUUUUUUAAGUCUGAUGUGAAAGCCUUCGGCUCAACCGAAGAAGUGCAUCGGAAACUGGGAAACUUGAGUGCAGAAGAGGACAGUGGAACUCCAUGUGUAGCGGUGAAAUGCGUAGAUAUAUGGAAGAACACCAGUGGCGAAGGCGGCUGUCUGGUCUGUAACUGACGCUGAGGCUCGAAAGUAUGGGUAGCAAACAGGAUUAGAUACCCUGGUAGUCCAUACCGUAAACGAUGAAUGCUAAGUGUUGGAGGGUUUCCGCCCUUCAGUGCUGCAGCUAACGCAUUAAGCAUUCCGCCUGGGGAGUACGGCCGCAAGGCUGAAACUCAAAGGAAUUGACGGGGGCCCGCACAAGCGGUGGAGCAUGUGGUUUAAUUCGAAGCUACGCGAAGAACCUUACCAGGUCUUGACAUACUAUGCAAAUCUAAGAGAUUAGACGUUCCCUUCGGGGACAUGGAUACAGGUGGUGCAUGGUUGUCGUCAGCUCGUGUCGUGAGAUGUUGGGUUAAGUCCCGCAACGAGCGCAACCCUUAUUAUCAGUUGCCAGCAUUAAGUUGGGCACUCUGGUGAGACUGCCGGUGACAAACCGGAGGAAGGUGGGGAUGACGUCAAAUCAUCAUGCCCCUUAUGACCUGGGCUACACACGUGCUACAAUGGAUGGUACAACGAGUUGCGAACUCGCGAGAGUAAGCUAAUCUCUUAAAGCCAUUCUCAGUUCGGAUUGUAGGCUGCAACUCGCCUACAUGAAGUCGGAAUCGCUAGUAAUCGCGGAUCAGCAUGCCGCGGUGAAUACGUUCCCGGGCCU